GUGAACUUCUGCAGGCUACUACGUAAGCUCUAAAACAACAGAUAUGCAUCAGGAUUUUCAGUUUCAUCCAAGUUAAAUAUAACUCAAAAUUAGUGAUCCACAGGGCACUAGUAAUCAACAAUACAACUUGACUUGACCUGGCAUACAAAAUUAAAAUCCACAACUCAGCUACUACGGGCCCACAAAAUUGGUCAAUGGGACAUACAUGCAAAUUCAUUUUCAUGAACGACUGUCCAGUCCAGUCUAUAUUAAGUCAGGCUUAUUUACAUGGUUGAAGAAUUAAAGCAAGCAAAUGCUAAAAUUGUCAUCGAAACAUUUACAAAAAGAUCUCGUAUGAUAACAACUGACAAGUUCAUAACAUUGAAACAAAUGCUGCAGCUGUGAUGCAUUCGUCCAUGUUUUUGAGGAGGGAGGUUAGGGGUUUAUGGUACCGAAACCAUGACCACUGGCCAAGUAUAAUGGCUGUUAUUCAUUGGAAUACUUCUAGUGUGCCUCUAACUACAAACAAACAGAAAAAGACAGGUUAAACAAGAAACUUAUAAAUUGGCAAAUCAAAUUUAGAAAUUAUCACAUAGGUUUCAUCACUACAAGAAAAACUCAAAACUUCAGAUUGUAAUUCACAAAGAUGGUUGACUUGUUCCUUGCAUGCACCAACUGGAACUGGAAACAUGCCUAGGAUGUUUUAGCGUAAUCUUUACAAUUUACGAUUUCUCAUAUAUGAUAACAAAUGGAAAUCUUGCAACAAGUUGAUUGGUGCUAUACUACCUUCUUUCACAGAACUCAAAUGCAUAGAAAAAUAUUGCCAACUAAUGCUGCUGCACUCUAAUAACAAAUAUUUUAAUACCAAAGCAAGAAAUUCUGCUCACCAUAGUUAGACCUUAGGAGGGAAUUUUUUUUGUUCUCAUUAGACCAUUUAAGUGGAAUCCCAUCAAUAAUCAACAUGAGUGAGAAUUGGGUUCCUAAAAAGAACUGGGAAAGGGAUUAAAAGGUGAUGCUGGCAGUAGUAAUGAAGUAGGAGUGUUAAAAAAACACAUUUAUAAUGCAUUAUUGAAGAAAGGAGUAGGCACGCAUACAAGAUGAAUUGUAAGGAAAAAGGAGAGGAAAAAAAAUCUAUCCAAUUUUUAAAAUUACAACAAUAUAUAGUUUUCAUGCAAACAGCCUCUAUGCCAGAAAAAAGGGGAAGGGAACAUUAAGAUAGUAUGACCCCUCGGACUCUAGGGAUGCCCACUUUUUCUUAAUGACUUAAAACAGUAAUAAUGGUGAACAGCAACAGAGUUGUUCUUUCUUUUCUUUUCAUAAGAGAGGAGGAAGGGUUGUGAGGGGCAGUUCAGUUGUAUUAUUGUGCUACCUACUAAGAAAAUUUUGAAAUCAAUAUGCAAUGCAAUCCAUUGGAAACCAGCCCAACUGUUUGAGGAAGUGAAUUGACAAUAUGAAAAUAUUUAUCACAAAGAUUUAUUACUUGACUGCAGAUCUAACUUAAUAAGAACUGCUCAAUGCAUGUUCCAAAUUUCUUUUGAGGUGCUGCAGUUAUAUGCUAAUACAGGCUUCCCUGCAAUCUGGACUUCGGUUGUGGUAGUUCUGGGUGGCCUUGCUAGUGACUGGCUAGAUAUGCUGCAUUUAAGUGCGGUAAUGGGAACAGAAAAAAAAGCACAACCAAAACUAUCACCAGAAAAAUUAUUGGACAACGCAUUUGUUCUCAGCAGAAGCUUGAGUGAAUGAUAAAGUAAGACCAAUAGUUGCCUUUAAUUCCAGAGCUUAACAUAAGGCAGAGUUCACUCACAAGGGACAAUGAGGUCAUUUGGGAAUGUGACUAAAAAUGGGAGAUUUAAGAUUAAGCUUAAAUUAUCUAGUAUCAUCAUUAACAUCAACACAAACACCAUCUGCAAAGAAAUUAGAAGAAAAUCACUUAAAUUUCAAUAAUCAGCAGAAACGUACAAUGUUUCAAGAAAAAGCUACUACGCUCACUUGUGGGUAAAUGCUUUGCCUAGUUGUUGCAGUCAAACCACAUAUUAACAAGGGUUUCAUCAGACAACAUAGGAAAUGGAGACCGUUUUAAGCAACAAUUUUAAUUAAUUAUUUCAUUACUAAUUCUAUAAGAGCAUCUAGGGUGCCACCACUUGCUCUAAUUAUACUCUUGCCACAAAGUUCUAAAAGUUGGGCAUUUUUCAAGAAUAAUAUGCCAUGACAGACAAAUUGCAUAAGAGACGCUCGGCAUAUUCAUUAUUCUGAAUCAUUUAGAUUAAAGCACAAAAAUUUGAAUUAGUUCUAAAUUCAAUCUCCAUUGACUAACCUUCCCCUAUUUCAGAAUUAAAAUACACUAUUUUGGAGAAAAGAUCAUACAAAAAUAGAUUACUGAUUCAAGAUUGCGCCUAUUUUAUAGAGUGAUGGAGCAGUAACAGGCAUGAAAAAGAAUAACUGAAUUCACGAUAAAACAGCUUACAGAUCAUCAUGAUUGAAAGAAAGGCAUACCUCUUCAAUUAGGGAGACAGGCACAAGUAAUGCCAUCACUAACAAUUUUGUUGACGGCAUCCCUAAAUUUGUAGUAAUCAUCAACCUUGUUGUAGACUUGAUGAGAAAUCCGAGCAUACCCAGUAACAGGAUCAACCUCUCCAUCUUUUGGAGCCCUAAAAUAUAUUGGGACUUCAACUCCAAAAUUAUUUCUCAAAUGAGUCCUCAACUUCAAAGCAUCUGACUCACUCGAAAUCCUCAAACAAGCAGGUAAUCCAACCAUGAUCAUGCUCCCACACAUCUCUGGCGGGCACCCAAGAUGAGUCCCCCAUGCCUUAACCAACAUCUCCCCCAUUUCAACAACAGCCUCAUGAUUCCUCUUCUUGAUUCCGUCAAUCCCACCUGGAAAUCUAUUGAUGAAUUCCAAAACCGAAGGAACUACUAAUUGAGCACUGUAGUCCCUAGUUCCAAUCCAAGCACUCUCCAGUGCCAACCCAUUACCAUACUCAUGGGAAACCACAGGGUGAUGCAAAUCAUCAUUGCCUUUAUCGUUCGACUUUCUUGAAUACAAAAACGCAACAGAAGGUGGGCUAAAAAACCAUUUAUGCAAAUUACUGGUAUAGAAAUCAGCCCCAAUUUCUUUCAUGUCAACAUCAACACACCCAAUCCCAUGAGCUGCAUCAACAAACACAUGGUUUACACCUUCCUCUCUGCAAAUUUUAACCAAUUCUUUAAUAGGAAUCACCACACUAGGCAUGGAAGUGACAUGGUCAAUCACAGCAAGCCUCACUUUCUUCCCAUUCUCUUUUCCUUUCUCCAAAGCCUUCCGGAAUUCGGUAAUGAUUUCCUCUUUCGAUUUCACCGGAAACGGCAACUGAACUUCGAUCACAUGCCCACCAGCGCGCGUGACGUAAGCUUCAAUGGACUUCUUCACAGCUCCGUAAGCAUAAUGAAGCAUUACAGCAACAUCGCCUUUGUUGUAUCUACCUUCGGAAAAGGACCACGCAGAUUUCUGCAAGACGAUAGCGGCAGCAGUGGUGGCGUUGUCGACGAGGGAGACCUCGUCGACUUGGUCAGCAUUAAUUAAGGAUUUGACGAUGGAUCGAGAGUGGAGGAUACCAGGCUUGAGCUGGUUGUAGUAGAAGUGGUCAGGCUGGCGGAGGAACUGGGUCUGCCAGCGUUGCUGAGCGGAGAUGACAGACUGAGGGCAGCUGCCGAAGCUGCCGUUGUUGAUGCGAGCGACGGAUAAGUCAUGGUGGGAGAAUUCAGAUUGGAUUUGGGAGUGAGUGAUAAAGGAGGUGGGAGACGGUGAAGAAAGUUUGGGCCUCUUGGUAAUGGGUAUGGUAGAGUCGCAGUGGUCGCCGUUGAGGGUAUGGUUUUGGCGGUUGUGGGUGGCCAUUGGAGUGGAAAUCAGGGGUAGGAGAGGAGAGGAUAGCGCAUAGAGAAAGGCCGUGGUGGUGGACGAGGAGGAGGAGACAGAUGAUGAAUUAAAAUAAUGCUUUGUUGACAUACGUACAAUUCCAU
rnacentral:misc_RNA from 1 species